GAUGAACGCUGGCGGCGUGCCUAAUACAUGCAAGUCGAGCGAAUGGAUUAAGAGCUUGCUCUUAUGAAGUUAGCGGCGGACGGGUGAGUAACACGUGGGUAACCUGCCCAUAAGACUGGGAUAACUCCGGGAAACCGGGGCUAAUACCGGAUAACAUUUUGAACCGCAUGGUUCGAAAUUGAAAGGCGGCUUCGGCUGUCACUUAUGGAUGGACCCGCGUCGCAUUAGCUAGUUGGUGAGGUAACGGCUCACCAAGGCAACGAUGCGUAGCCGACCUGAGAGGGUGAGCGGCCACACUGGGACUGAGACACGGCCCAGACUCCUACGGGAGGCAGCAGUAGGGAAUCUUCCGCAAUGGACGGAAGGCUGACGGAGCAACGCCGCGUGAGUGAUGAAGGCUUUCGGGUCGUAAAACUCUGUUGUUAGGGAAGAACAAGUGCUAGUUGAAUAAGCUGACACCUUGACGGUACCUAACCAGAAAGCCACGGCUAACUACGUGCCAGCAGCCGCCGUAA
rnacentral:rRNA from 1 species